UUUGGGGAGCAUAUUUGGCUUUCUCUGGUUGGUUGUAAGUUGGGAGCAGGGACAAAAAUUGGGGAAGCUGUCACUUAUUAAUCAAGUCCUGGCCAUUUGGGGCUGAUUGUCAAGGGGUGGUGGUG